rnacentral:lncRNA from 1 species
AUGGUUAUUGUGAAUAAGGCCCUGUCCAGUUUUUUGGUCUUGUCGUUCUUGGGAAUUAAAACUCCUGUGUUCCUAAAUUAUGCAACGUCAGCUUUCUGGAUGGAAGCCAUUUUGUGUGAGCACCUUAACCACUCUUUAAAACCUUUCCUUUCCUUUCCCUUUGAAUGAUAGCAGAAAAUUGACCUGGUCAAUUGACCAGAUGGGUGGGAUAUAAAUACAAUGAAUGAAUGAAUGAAUGAAUGAAUGAAUGAAUGAAUGAAUGAAUGAAUGAAUGAAUGAAUGAAGUAACGUAUUAUUCAUUGUACCAAAGGGAUGGGACUGAAAGGCCUCGAUGAAAAGCCAGUAGAUUCCAGAGAAAACCUAUGUGGUGAAUUCACAACAUUAUCUGAGUGUAACAUUGUUUCUGUAUUUCAUACAUGUGUUUUGUGAGUCAGAGAAUUUGGACUUACUCCUCUCAAGACAUUGUGUAAAAAUAAAUCCAGCUGAUAUAAAGUCA